rnacentral:lncRNA from 1 species
AAAGAACCAAGCCCUGUGUGUGCCAACAGAAUAGUCACAAUAGUCACGGAUGCUGCAGCUGCCAGCAUGUAAGUUAACAAGAAGAGAGGCCAGGAGCCAUGAGUCAACAUUUGAGAACAUCCUGAGAAAGAGAAGAAUCACCUAGAAACCAGGUCCCUUCACUCAACACUGGAGAGCAUUUACAUAUUGCCCGAUAUCCAAAAAUCAACUUUUAAAAAAUAUUUUAAGGGGAAAAAAGGAUGUCUACCACAGCAUGGCUUGCCAAGCAGUUCCAUGUCUGCACCCGGGAUCUGAACUGGUGAACCCCAGGCCGCUGAGAAGCAGAACAUGUGAACUUAACAGCUCUGCCACCCGGCUGGCCCCAAAUUUUUUCAGUCUUACGGUUGUCGCGGAAAGGCAUGUCACAUCAAAGGCACUCCUCUAUGAAAUUUCUGGAUUGGGAAGCCAGGGAAAGCCACUGGUCGCUGAAUGCAGCUGGCACAGAAGCUGGGCACUGAGGAAGCUGCCUGGCAGCAAGAGCCAGGCUCUGGAGAAACCACUCCCACAGUGCAGGAGGCAGGGG